rnacentral:RNase_P_RNA from 1 species
UGAGUCGGCUGGGCGGCCGCUCGGUGGUUGGUAAUAGCUUUGCUAUUGUCGGCGCCGGGAGGAAAGUCCGGGCUCCAUAGGGUAAGGUGCCAGGUAACGCCUGGGGGGCGAGAGCCUACGGCUAGUGCAGCAGAAAAUAUACCGCCUAAGCAGCUUCGGUUGCCGGUAAGGUUGAAAUGGUGCGGUAAGAGCGCACCGCGCGACUGGUAACAGUUCGUGGCAGGGUAAACCCCACCUGGAGCAAGGCCAAAUAGGAAUCCUUUGCCGCGACCCGCGGUGGAUUCGGGUAGGCUGCUUGAGGUCUGCGGUGACGCAGGUCCCAGAUGAAUGGUCGUCCACGACAGAACCCGGCUUAUAGGCCGACUCAUUUU